UACGGAGGGGACUAGCGUUGUUCGGAAUUACUGGGCGUAAAGCGCACGUAGGCGGAUUUGUAAGUCAGGGGUGAAAUCCCGGGGCUCAACCUCGGAACUGCCUUUGAUACUGCAAAUCUCGAGUCCGGAAGAGGUGAGUGGAAUUCCUAGUGUAGAGGUGAAAUUCGUAGAUAUCCGGAAGAACACCUGAGGCGAAGGCGGCUUGCUGGGCAUGAUCUGACGCUGAGGCGCGAAAGCGUGGGGAGCAAACAGG
rnacentral:rRNA from 1 species